CAGGACGAACGCUGGCGGCGUGCUUCAUACAUGCAAGUCGAACGAGAAGCUCACUUCGGUGAGUGGAAAGUGGCGGACGGGUGAGUAAAAUGUAGAGAAUCUGCCCUAGAGAGGGGGACAACAGAGGGAAACUUCUGCUAAUACCCCAUAUGAGCGUAGCUGAAAUGCUAUUCUUGAAAACUCCGGUGCUCUGGGAUGAGUCUGCAUCUGAUUAGCUAGUUGGGGGUGUAAUGGACCACCAAGGCGACGAUCAGUAGCUGGUUUGAGAGGAUGAUCAGCCACAAUGGGACUGAGACACGGCCCAUACUCCUACGGGAGGCAGCAGUAGGGAAUUUUGCGCAAUGGGGGAAACCCUGACGCCAGCAACGCCGCGUGAUUGAAGAAGCCCUUCGGGGUGUAAAGAUCUGUCAGUGGGGACGAAACUUGACGGUACCCACAGAGGAAGCAUCGGCUAACUCCGUGCCAGCCGCUGC
rnacentral:rRNA from 1 species